rnacentral:rRNA from 1 species
CCUGACACUCAGACGCGAAAGCUAGGGUAGCAAACGGGAUUAGAGACCCCGGUAGUCCUAGCCCUAAACGAUGUAGACUAGGCGUCGGAAGUUUAAUCACUUUCGGUGUCCAAGCUAACGCGAUAAGUCUACCGCCUGGGGACUACGGCCGCAAGGUUAAAACUCAAAGGAAUUGACGGGUCCCCGCACAAGCAGCGGAGCGUGUGGUUUAAUUCGUUGCUACACGAAGAACCUUACCUGGGUUUGACAUAGCAGUGGUAGGGAAGCGAAAGCGGACCGACCCUUCGGGGAGCUGUUACAGGUGUUGCAUGGCUGUCGUCAGCUCGUGUCGUGAGAUGUUCGGUUAAGUCCGCUAACGAGCGCAACCCGCGUUGUGUGUUACAAGUGUCACACAAUACCGCCGGUAUUAAGUCGGAGGAAGGUGCGGAUGACGUCAAGUCAGCAUGACCUUUAUAUCCAGGGCUACACACACGCUACAAUGGUCGGCACAAUAGGUUGCCAAGUCGUGAGACGGAGCCAAUCCUCCAAAGCCGACCUCAGUUCAGAUUGCAGGCUGCAACUCGCCUGCAUGAAGUUGGAGUUGCUAGUAAACGGAGGUCAGCUAUACUGCGUGAAACU